rnacentral:tRNA from 1 species
GAGACUUUAUCUUAAUAAAAGAUUCUGAGUUGCAUUCAGUAGAUGUGGGUUAGCGUCCCGCAAGUCUUU